UUCAUGGUUGUCAAUGAUGUAUUACUAUUUGCUGAAUCUAAGUGAUCUAGCUCAAAUAUUCGUCACUACCACUGAGACAACUAUGAA
ensembl:snoRNA SNORD70 small nucleolar RNA, C/D box 70